rnacentral:rRNA from 1 species
UACGUAGGGCGCGAGCGUUGUCCGGAAUUAUUGGGCGUAAAGAACUCGUAGGCGGCCUGUUGCGUCCGCUGUGAAAUCCCAGGGCUCAACCCUGGGCGUGCAGUGGAUACGGGCAGGCUGGAGGCAGGCAGGGGAGAACGGAAUUCCCGGUGUAGCGGUGAAAUGCGCAGAUAUCAGGAGGAACACCGAUGGCGAAGGCAGGUCUCCUGGGCCACUGACUGA